ensembl:snRNA U6 U6 spliceosomal RNA
AGGCUCGCUUUGAGCACAUAUACUAAAAUUGGAAUGAUCCAGAGAAGAUUAGCACGGCCCCUGCGCUAGGAUGACAUGCAAAUCUGAGAAGUGUUCUAUAUUAAA